ACACGCAGUGAAUGCAAACUUUUAGCUGGCAUUAACAUUAUACGGUAUAUAUGAACUGACAUAACUACCAUUAAUCGUAUUAUGCGACUAUUUUUUCGCAGAAAUAUUCACAGCCAAAGUGUUAUUAAUUCAGCGAUUUCCAUCUAACAUGACGAAUUUUUACCACAGGGAAACAUUAAAAGGCAGUGACUAGCGUGUUCUAAAAUUUCAUAAUGGAAACAUUACGACAGGCGACACGAUCCAGCAAUUACCACUUCAAUAGUGCUUCCCAGGCGUGUUAUAUCCACAGCAUAGGUCAAGGGAUGCAAGAUCGAGGUGGAACGAGGAAGGCGAAAGACCACGAGCAAAGCACAACCGCCGCGACGCCUGGAGGAAUGUUUCACGUAUAAGGACACCACAUUCGACGGGCCAUCAUUACGAUCAUCAGCGUAAGCGUCACACGGCGGGAACUAAACGCGAAGGGUAGCGAGGAUCGACAGCGG
rnacentral:misc_RNA from 1 species